CCUACGGGAGGCAGCAGUGGGGAAUAUUGCACAAUGGGGGAAACCCUGAUGCAGCGACGCCGCGUGAGUGAAGAAGUAUUUCGGUAUGUAACGCUCUGUCAGCAGGGAAGAAAAUGACGGUACCUGACCAAGAAGCCACGGCUAACUACGGGCCAGCAGCCGCGGUAAUACGUAGGGGGCAAGCGUUAUCCGGAUUUACUGGGUGUAAAGGGAGCGUAGACGGGAGGGCAAGUCUGGAGGGAAAGGCGGGGGCUCAACCCCCGGACUGCUCUGGAAACGGCCAGGCUGGAGUGCAGGAGAGGUAAGUGGAAUUCCUAGUGUAGCGGUGAAAUGCGUAGAUAUUAGGAGGAACACCAGUGGCGAAGGCGGCUUACUGGACUGUAACUGACGUUGAGGCACGAAAGCGUGGGGAGCAAACAGGAUUAGAUACCCGGGUAGUC
rnacentral:rRNA from 1 species